rfam:Cupriavidus sp. TSMAA2-4 chromosome 2, complete sequence.
UGUUCGGAAGCUCAUCGGGCAGAGCAGUCGGCUUCGGCCUGCAGGUGGCGGGUUCGAAUCCCGCCCGAACAC